CACGCGGGAAUCUUACCGGGUCCGGACACACUGAGGAUUGACAGACAAAUAUAGAAAUUUUAUAUUUCUCAUAUAUAAAGAUGCUAGUUCUUUCAUGAUUAUGUGAUAGGUGGUGCAUGGCCGUUCUUAGUUCGUGGAGUGAUCUGUCUGCUUAAUUGCGUUUCAAUUUUUAUUAUGUAUACGUAUGACCCACGUUUACGCGUGCGAGUCUAGUAUGCUAUCAUUUGAAAGCAACGAACGUGACCGUAUCCUUUUAUUAUAUACGCACGCGUAUAUUUAUUCAUUAAAGGGACCGCUGUUUCUUUUUUUAAACCAGAGGAAGGUUACGGCAAUAACAGGUCUGUGAUGCCCUUCGAUGUUCCGGGCUGCACACGUGCUACAAUGAUUAUUUCAUUAAGUAUCUACUAUACUGCACAUUAUGUGUAUUAAAACCUACCCUGAGAAUGGGCGGGUAAUCAAUUAGAAGUAAUGAUUUCCUUUUUUUUAUACGCAACUAUGUACCGUAUAUUACAUCCCAUAAUAUUUUUUU
rnacentral:rRNA from 1 species